UACGGGAGGCAGCAGUGGGGAAUAUUGCACAAUGGGCGCAAGCCUGAUGCAGCCAUGCCGCGUGUAUGAAGAAGGCCUUCGGGUUGUAAAGUACUUUCAGUCGUGAGGAAGGUGUUAAGGUUAAUAACCUUAGCAAUUGACGUUAGCGACAGAAGAAGCACCGGCUAACUCCGUGCCAGCAGCCGCGGUAAUACGGAGGGUGCGAGCGUUAAUCGGAAUUACUGGGCGUAAAGGGCACGCAGGCGGUUAAUUAAGUUGGAUGUGAAAUCCCCGGGCUUAACCUGGGAAUGGCAUUCAAGACUGGUUAGCUAGAGUCUUGUAGAGGGGGUAGAAUUCCAUGUGUAGCGGUGAAAUGCGUAGAGAUGUGGAGGAAUACCGGGUGGCGAAGGCGGCCCCUGGGACAAAGACUGACGCUCAUGUGCGAAAGCGUGGGGAGCAAACAGGGAUUAGAUAC
rnacentral:rRNA from 1 species